UAAAGCGUGCGUAGGCGGGCGUGCAGGCGUUUUGUGAAAGCCCUCGGCUCAACCGGGGAAUUGCUUGACGAACCGCACGUCUUGAGGCAGGUAGGGGUCGUCGGAACGCUCGGUGGAGUGGUGGAAUGCGUUGAUAUCGAGCGGAACGCCGAAGGAGAAGUCAGGCGACUGGGCCUGUCCUGACGCUGAUGCACGAAAGCGUGGGGAGCGAACGGGAUUAGAUACCCCGGUAGUCCACGCCGUAAACGAUGUGCACUAGAUCGAGGGGGUUCUGACACCGCUCUCGGUCGAAGCGAAAGUGUUAAGUGCACCGCCUGGGGAGUACGGUCGCAAGGCUAAAACUCAAAGGAAUUGACGGGGGCUCACACAAGCGGUGGAGCAUGUGGCUUAAUUCGAAGCAACGCGAAGAACCUUAUCCUGGGUUUGACAUGCACGGAUUAGCUCCUGGAAACAGGAGUGACGCGGCUUGCCGUGGAACGUGCACAGGUGCUGCAUGGCUGUCGUCAGCUCGUGCUGUGAAGUGUCGGGUUAAGUCCCUUAACGAGCGCAACCCCUGUCGCUAGUUGCCAGCGAGUCAUGUCGGGGACUCUAGCGAGACUGCCGGUGUCAAACCGGAGGAAGGUGGGGAUGACGUCAAGUCCGCAUGGCCUUUAUGCCCAGGGCUGCACACGUGCUACAAUGGCCGGUACAGAACGACGCAAUACCGUAAGGUGGAGCAAAUCGCCAAAGCCGGCCCCAGUUCGGAUUGCGGGCUGCAACCCGCCCGCAUGAAGUCGGAAUCGCUAGUAAUCGCGGAU
rnacentral:rRNA from 1 species